rnacentral:rRNA from 1 species
UACAGAGACUGUAAGCGUUAUUCGGAUUCACUGGGCGUAAAGGGUGCGCAGGCGGCCAAGUGUGUGAGGCGUGAAAGCCCGGGGCUUAACCCCGGAAUUGCACCUCAAACUACAUGGCUAGAGCAUUGGAGAGGGUAGCAGAAUUCACGGUGUAGCAGUGAAAUGCGUAGAUAUCGGGAGGAACACCAGUGGCGAAGGCGGCUUCCUGGACCUGUUCUGACACUGAGGAGCGAAAGCGUGGGGAGCGAUCCGG